AACGAACGCUGGCGGCAUGCCUAACACAUGCAAGUCGAACGAGACCUUCGGGUCUAGUGGCGCACGGGUGCGUAACGCGUGGGAACCUGCCUUUAGGUUCGGAAUAACUCAGAGAAAUUUGAGCUAAUACCGGAUGAUGUCUUCGGACCAAAGAUUUAUCGCCUUUAGAUGGGCCCGCGUUGGAUUCGCUAGUUGGUGGGGUAAAGGCCUACCAAGGCGACGAUCCAUAGCUGGUCUGAGAGGAUGAUCAGCCACACUGGGACUGAGACACGGCCCAGACUCCUACGGGAGGCAGCAGUGGGGAAUAUUGGACAAUGGGCGAAAGCCUGAUCCAGCAAAGCCGCGUGAGUGAUGAAGGCCUUAGGGUUGUAAAGCUCUUUUACCCGAGAUGAUAAUGACAGUAUCGGGAGAAUAAGCUUCGGCUAACUCCGUG
rnacentral:rRNA from 1 species